rfam:Sporisorium reilianum SRZ2 chromosome 1 complete DNA sequence
AUCUGCGGCCACAGAAGCGUGAAAGCACCGCAUCCCGUCCGAUCUGCGCAGUUAAGCACGCUAUUGCCCAGCCAGUACUGCGGUGGGGGACCACGUGGGAAUCCUGGGUGCUGCAGUUC